CGCACGGGUGAGUAAGGUAUAGUUAAUCUGCCCUACACAAGAGGACAACAGUUGGAAACGACUGCUAAUACUCUAUACUCCUGCUUAACACAAGUUGAGUAGGGAAAGUUUUUCGGUGUAGGAUGAGACUAUAUAGUAUCAGCUAGUUGGUAAGGUAAUGGCUUACCAAGGCUAUGACGCUUAACUGGUCUGAGAGGAUGAUCAGUCACACUGGAACUGAGACACGGUCCAGACUCCUACGGGAGGCAGCAGUAGGGAAUAUUGCGCAAUGGGGGAAACCCUGACGCAGCAACGCCGCGUGGAGGAUGACACUUUUCGGAGCGUAAACUCCUUUUCUUAGGGAAGAAUUCUGACGGUACCUAAGGAAUAAGCACCGGCUAACUCCGUGCCAGCAGCCGCGGUAAUACGGAGGGUGCAAGCGUUACUCGGAAUCACUGGGCGUAAAGGGCGCGUAGGCGGAUUAUCAAGUCUCUUGUGAAAUCUAAUGGCUUAACCAUUAAACUGCUUGGGAAACUGAUAGUCUAGAGUGAGGGAGAGGCAGAUGGAAUUGGUGGUGUAGGGGUAAAAUCCGUAGAUAUCACCAAGAAUACCCAUUGCGAAGGCGAUCUGCUGGAACUCAACUGACGCUAAGGCGCGAAAGCGUGGGGAGCAAACAGGAUUAGAUACCCUGGUAGUCCACGCCCUAAACGAUGUACACUAGUUGUUGGGGUGCUAGUCAUCUCAGUAAUGCAGCUAACGCAUUAAGUGUACCGCCUGGGGAGUACGGUCGCAAGAUUAAAACUCAAAGGAAUAGACGGGGACCCGCACAAGCGGUGGAGCAUGUGGUUUAAUUCGAAGAUACGCGAAGAACCUUACCUGGGCUUGAUAUCCUAAGAACCUUUUAGAGAUAAGAGGGUGCUAGCUUGCUAGAACUUAGAGACAGGUGCUGCACGGCUGUCGUCAGCUCGUGUCGUGAGAUGUUGGGUUAAGUCCCGCAACGAGCGCAACCCACGUAUUUAGUUGCUAACGGUUCGGCCGAGCACUCUAAAUAGACUGCCUUCGUAAGGAGGAGGAAGGUGUGGACGAUGUCAAGUCAUCAUGGCCCUUAUGCCCAGGGCGACACACGUGCUACAAUGGCAUAUACAAUGAGACGCAAUACCGCGAGGUGGAGCAAAUCUAUAAAAUAUGUCCCAGUUCGGAUUGUUCUCUGCAACUCGAGAGCAUGAAGCCGGAAUCGCUAGUAAUCGUAGAUCAGCCAUGCUACGGUGAAUACGUUCCCGGGUCUUGUACUCACCGCCCGUCACACCAUGGGAGUUGAUUUCACUCGAAGCCGG
rnacentral:rRNA from 1 species